GUAACUCAGAUUUGUAUACAGUUAAAACGUUUGCCUAAGUUUGCCGCUAGGGGCGCUGUUCCAACUGCAUACAAAUUAGAGUUA
rfam:Bombyx mori DNA, contig: Bm_scaf69_contig30734, strain: p50T/Dazao, build 2, whole genome shotgun sequence.